rnacentral:lncRNA from 1 species
GGGUGCCAUCAUGGUCCUUCCAUUUCUCGUCAACGAGCGAGGGGGUGAAAUAUUCACAGAAAUGACACCAGGGAAGGAAUUCACACACCCGACACUGCUCUACACUGGUGAAAACCCCGUAUCUUCUGAGGCCAUGUGCGUCAAGUGCGAGGAUGUCUGUGUAGACGUGCUUGAUUUUACGUCAGGACUGUCGUUACUUUUUGCGAUGUACUGGGCGUACAACAUUGAAUAUGUCUCAUCCGCGAAAAAUACGCUGUGCCUGCUAGAGCACAUGAUGGGCAUAAACAGCUCUAAACUGACCACCAGAGGCAUAAAA